rnacentral:rRNA from 1 species
UUUAAACAAACUUCAAUUGCUCCMUACUACACCAUAAAAAUUGAGCAGUAMUGAUUGUUAGUUUUAGGUUGGGGYGACCGCGGAGUAAAACAAAACCUCCACAAUGAACGUAAUAAAAUUYUAAUAAAAGAACCACAAUUYUACAAAUCAAAAAAUUGACAUAAAUUGACCCAAACGCUUGAUCAAUGAACCAAGUUACCYUGGGGAUAACAGCGCAAUCCAUUUCAAGAGCCCUUAUCGACAAAUGGGUUUACGACCUCGAUGUUGGAUCAGGGUGUCCAAGUGGYGUAGCAGCUACUA